CCUACGGGUGGCUGCAGUGGGGAAUUUUGGACAAUGGGGGCAACCCUGAUCCAGCCAUUCCGCGUGAGUGAAGAAGGCCUUCGGGUUGUAAAGCUCUUUUGUCCGGAGCGAAACGGGCGGCCCUAAUACGGUCGUCUACUGACGGUACCGGAAGAAUAAGCACCGGCUAACUACGUGCCAGCAGCCUCGGUAAUACGUAGGGUGCGAGCUUUAAGCGGAAUGACUGGGCGUAAAGCUUUAACCCAGGUGUGAAAGCGCCGUGCUCAACCUGGGAAUGGCAUUUGGGACUGCAAGGCUGGAGUGUGGCAGAGGGGACUAGAAUUCCUGGUGUAGCAGUGAAAUGCGUAGAUAUCAGGAGGAAUACCGAUGGCGAAGGCAGGUCCCUGGGUUAACACUGACGCUCAUGCACGAAAGCGUGGGGAGCAAACAGGAUUAGAUACCCUAGUAGUC
rnacentral:rRNA from 1 species